rnacentral:rRNA from 1 species
CCUACGGGAGGCAGCAGUGGGGAAUCUUGCGCAAUGGGCGAAAGCCUGACGCAGCCAUGCCGCGUGAAUGAUGAAGGUCUUAGGAUUGUAAAAUUCUUUCACCGGGGACGAUAAUGACGGUACCCGGAGAAGAAGCCCCGGCUAACUUCGUGCCAGCAGCCGCGGUAAUACGAAGGGGGCUAGCGUUGCUCGGAAUUACUGGGCGUAAAGGGAGCGUAGGCGGAUAGUUUAGUCAGAGGUGAAAGCCCAGGGCUCAGCCUUGGAAUUGCCUUUGAUACUGGCUAUCUUGAGUGUGGGAGAGGGUAUGUGGAACUCCGAGUGUAGAGGUGAAAUUCGUAGAUAUUCGGAAGAACACCAGUGGCGAAGGCGACAUACUGGCCCAUUACUGACGCUGAGGCUCGAAAGCGUGGGGAGCAAACAGGAUUAGAUACCCUGGUAGUCCACGCUGUAAACGAUGAGUGCUAGUUGUCGGCAUGCAUNNAUGUCGGUGACGCAACUAACGACAUAAGACACUACCGCCGUCGGGAGGUACGGUCGCGAAGAAGUUAAAACUUAAAAUUAAGUAAGUUAGUACGGACGUGAGACGUGCCGAACGGACGACGACGAGGGAGGUUAGG